CCUACGGGAGGCAGCAGUGGGGAAUAUUGGGCAAUGGACGAAACUCUGACCCAGCAACGCCGCGUGAAGGAUGAAGGUUUUCGGAUUGUAAACUUCUGUCGCGAGGGAUGAAGAAUGACGGUACCACGUAAGAAACACCCGGCUAACCACGUGGCAGCAGCCGCGGUAAUACGUAGGGGGCAAGCGUUAUCCGGAAUUACUGGGUGGAAAGGGAACGUAGGCGGCAGGGCAAGUCCGGAGUGAAAGCCCGGGGCUCAACCUGGGAACUGCACUGGAUACUGUAAAGCUGGAGUGCGGGAGGGGCAGGUGGAAUUCCUGGUGUAGCGGUGAAAUGCGUAGAGAUCAGGAGGAACACCGGUGGCGAAGGCGGCCUACUGGACCGUAACUGACGUUGAGGUGCGAAAGCGUGGGGAGCAAACAGGAUUAGAUACCCGAGUAGUC
rnacentral:rRNA from 1 species